GGGGAAUCUUGGACAAUGGGCGCAAGCCUGAUCCAGCCAUGCCGCGUGAGUGAAGAAGGCCUUCGGGUUGUAAAGCUCUUUUACCAGGGACGAUAAUGACGGUACCUGGAGAAUAAGCCCCGGCAAACUUCGUGCCAGCAGCCGCGGUAAUACGAAGGGGGCUAGCGUUGUUCGGAAUUACUGGGCGUAAAGCGCACGUAGGCGGAUUGUUAAGUCAGAGGUGAAAUCCCGGAGCUCAACUUCGGAACUGCCUUUGAUACUGGCAAUCUAGAGUCCGGAAGAGGUUAGUGGAAUUCCCAGUGUAGAGGUGAAAUUCGUAGAUAUUGGGAAGAACACCAGUGGCGAAGGCGGCUAACUGGUCCGGUACUGACGCUGAGGUGCGAAAGCGUGGGGAGCAAAC
rnacentral:rRNA from 1 species